AUUGAACGCUGGCGGCAGGCCUAACACAUGCAAGUCGAACGGUAACAGGAAGCAGCUUGCUGCUUUGCUGACGAGUGGCGGACGGGUGAGUAAUGUCUGGGAAACUGCCUGAUGGAGGGGGAUAACUACUGGAAACGGUAGCUAAUACCGCAUAACGUCGCAAGACUAAAGAGGGGGACCUUCGGGCCUCUUGCCAUCGGAUGUGCCCAGAUGGGAUUAGCUAGUAGGUGGGGUAAAGGCUCACCUAGGCGACGAUCCCUAGCUGGUCUGAGAGGAUGACCAGCCACACUGGAACUGAGACACGGUCCAGACUCCUACGGGAGGCAGCAGUGGGGAAUAUUGCACAAUGGGCGCAAGCCUGAUGCAGCCAUGCCGCGUGUAUGAAGAAGGCCUUCGGGUUGUAAAGUACUUUCAGCGGGGAGGAAGGGAGUAAAGUUAAUACCUUUGCUCAUUGACGUUACCCGCAGAAGAAGCACCGGCUAACUCCGUGCCAGCCGCCGCCGUAA
rnacentral:rRNA from 1 species